GAUGAACGCUAGCGGCAGGCCUAAUACAUGCAAGUCGAACGGUGUCUUCGGACAUAGUGGCGCACGGGUGCGUAACACGUAUGCAACCUACCUUACAUUGGGGGAUAGCCUUUCGAAAGGGAGAUUAAUACCGCAUAAGACAGUAGCUGGGUAUCCAGCAGCUGUUAAAGAUUUAUCGAUGUAAGCUGGGCAUGCGUCCAAUAAGCUAGUUGGUGAGGUAACGGAUCACCAAGGGAAUGAUUGGUAGGGGAACUGGGAGGGUAAUGCACCACACUGGCACUGAGAUACGGGCCAGACUCCUACGGGAAGCAGCAGUAGGGAAUAUUGGGCAAUGGACGAAAGUCUGACCCAGCCAGGCCGCGUGCAGGAUGAAGGCGUUAUGCGUUGUAAACUGCUUUUAUACAGGAAGAAACGACUCUUGCGAGAGGCAUUGACGGUACUGUAUGAAUAAGCACCGGCUAACUCCGUGCCAGCCGCCGCCGUAACAC
rnacentral:rRNA from 1 species